CUUUAGGAUGCUUUUUGGAUGGACUAAUCUGAAGAUGCUGGCUAGCUUACACCGCCAUCAUACAGUCUAGAAGUACAGGGAAAAUAAAGGCAAUUCGCCAUCUGGAGAAAUACCAACUAAUACAUUUUUGUACUUUCUUUGUUACAGAGGUUGCUCUUGUAGAGAAAACAUAGUAAACUCAGAUGAUUGGAUUAGAAAAUACUCUUCAGCAUCUGAAACAUCUAAAGGCGGUCACUCAACUAAGUAUCUUAUACAAUAUACC